GCUUACGACCAUAUCACGUUGAGAACACCGGUUCUCGUCCGAUCACCGAAGUUAAGCAACGUCGAGCCNCAACGUCGAGCCGAGUCAGUACUUGGGAGGGAGACCACUUGGGAACACUCGGUGUCGUAGGCU
rnacentral:rRNA from 1 species